rnacentral:rRNA from 1 species
AACGAACGCUGGCGGCGUGGAUUAGGCAUGCAAGUCGAACGAGAAAGUCACUUCGGUGGCGAGUAAAGUGGCGAAAGGGCGAGUAAUGCGUGGACAAUCUACCCUCAAGAUGGGGGAUAAUCACCCGAAAGGGUGACUAAUACCGAAUGUGGCGCUGAGAUCGCAUGUUUUUGGCGCUAAAGGUGGGGACCUUCGGGCCUACCGCUUGGGAGGAGUUCACGUUCUAUCAGCUAGNGGUGGGGUAACGGCCCACCAAGGCAGCGACGGAUAGGCGGCCUGAGAGGGUGGUCGCCCGCACUGGGACUGAGACACUG